rnacentral:rRNA from 1 species
CUCGUAGGCGGUUCGUCGCGUCCGGUGUGAAAGUCCAUCGCUUAACGGUGGAUCUGCGCCGGGUACGGGCGGGCUGGAGUGCGGUAGGGGAGACUGGAAUUCCCGGUGUAACGGUGGAAUGUGUAGAUAUCGGGAAGAACACCAAUGGCGAAGGCAGGUCUCUGGCCGUUACUGAUGCUGAGGAGCGAAAGCGUGGGGAGCGAACA